rnacentral:rRNA from 1 species
UACGGAGGGUGCAAGCGUUAAUCGGAAUUACUGGGCGUAAAGAGUACGUAGGCGGCUUGGUCAGUCGGAUGUGAAAGCCCCGGGCUUAACCUGGGAAUUGCACUCGAUACUGCCAGGCUAGAGUUUGGUAGAGGAUUGGGGAAUUUCCAGUGUAGCGGUGAAAUGCGUAGAGAUUGGGAAGAACAUCGAUGGCGAAGGCAACAAUCUGGACCUGAACUGACACUGAGGGACGAAAGCGUGGGUAGCAAACAGG